UACGGGGGGGGGCAAGCGUUGUCCGGAAUCACUGGGCGUAAAGGGUGCGUAGGCGGGUCUUUAAGUCAGGGGUGAAAUCCUGGAGCUCAACUCCAGAACUGCCUUUGAUACUGAAGAUCUUGAGUUCGGGAGAGGUGAGUGGAACUGCGAGUGUAGAGGUGAAAUUCGUAGAUAUUCGCAAGAACACCAGUGGCGAAGGCGGACUCACUGGCCCGAUACUGACGCUGAGGCACGAAAGCGCGGGGAGCAAACAGGG
rnacentral:rRNA from 1 species